rnacentral:rRNA from 1 species
CGGGCGUUAAGUUGCAGGGUAUAGACCCGAAACCCGGUGAUCUAGCCAUGGGCAGGUUGAAGGUUGGGUAACACUAACUGGAGGACCGAACCGACUAAUGUUGAAAAAUUAGCGGAUGACCUGUGGCUGGGGGUGAAAGGCCAAUCAAACCGGGAGAUAGCUGGUUCUCCCCGAAAGCUAUUUAGGUAGCGCCUCGUGAAUUCAUCUCCGGGGGUAGAGCACUGUUUCGGCUAGGGGGCCAUCCCGGCUUACCAACCCGAUGCAAACUGCGAAUACCGGAGAAUGUUAUCACGGGAGACACACGGCGGGUGCUAACGUCCGUCGUGAAGAGGGAAACAACCCAGACCGCCAGCUAAGGUCCCAAAGUCAUGGUUAAGUGGGAAACGAUGUGGGAAGGCCCAGACAGCCAGGAUGUUGGCUUAGAAGCAGCCAUCAUUUAAAGAAAGCGUAAUAGCUCACUGGUCGAGUCGGCCUGCGCGGAAGAUGUAACGGGGCUAAACCAUGCACCGAAGCUGCGGCAGCGACACUCAGGUGUUGUUGGGUAGGGGAGCGUUCUGUAAGCCUGCGAAGGUGUGUCGUGAGGCAUGCUGGAGGUAUCAGAAGUGCGAAUG